AGUGAACGCUGGCGGUAGGCCUAACACAUGCAAGUCGAACGGCAGCACAGUAAGAGCUUGCUCUUACGGGUGGCGAGUGGCGGACGGGUGAGGAAUACAUCGGAAUCUACUUUUUCGUGGGGGAUAACGUAGGGAAACUUACGCUAAUACCGCAUACGACCUACGGGUGAAAGCAGGGGAUCUUCGGACCUUGCGCGAUUGAAUGAGCCGAUGUCGGAUUAGCUAGUUGGCGGGGUAAAGGCCCACCAAGGCGACGAUCCGUAGCUGGUCUGAGAGGAGGAUCAGCCACACUGGAACUGAGACACGGACCAUACUCCUACGGGAGGCAGCAGUGGGGAAUAUUGGACAAUGGGCGCAAGCCUGAUCCAGCGAUACCGCGUGGGUGAAGAAGGCCUUCGGGUUGUAAAGCCCUUUUGUUGGGAAAGAAAAGCAGCAGGUUAAUACCCCGCUGUUCUGACGGUACCCAAUGAAUAAGCACCGGCUAACUUCGUG
rnacentral:rRNA from 1 species